rnacentral:rRNA from 1 species
GACGAAGGGGGGCUAGCGUUGUUCGGAAUUACUGGGCGUAAAGCGCACGUAGGUGGCGACGUAAGUCGGGUGUGAAAUCCCCCGGGCUUAACCUGGGAACUGCGUUUGAAACUACAAGGCUAGAGUGUGGCAGAGGGGGGGUGGAAUUCCACGUGUAGCAGUGAAAUGCGUAGAGAUGUGGAGGAACACCGAUGGCGAAGGCAGCCUCCUGGGCCAGCACUGACGCUCAUGCACGAAAGCGUGGGGAGCAAACAGG